CCUACGGGUGGCAGCAGUGAGGAAUAUUCGUCAAUGGACGAGAGUCUGAACCAGCCAAGUAGCGUGAAGGAUGAAUGCCCUAUGGGUUGUAAACUUUUUUUAUAAAGGAAUAAAACGAGGCACGUGUGCCUUUUUGCAUGUACUUUAUGAAUAAGGAUCGGCUAACUCAGGGCCAGCAGCCGCGGUAAUACGGAGGAUACGAGCGUUAUCCGGAUGUAUUGGGUGUAAAGGGAACGUAGAUGGGUUGUUAAGUCAGUUGUGAAAGUUUGCGGCUCAACCGUAAAAUUGCAAUUGAUACUGGCAGUCUUGAGUACAGUUGAGGUAGGCGGAAUUCGUGGUGUAGCGGUGAAAUGCUUAGAUAUCACGAAGAACCCCGAUUGCGAAGGCAGCUUACUAAACUGUGACUGACAUUGAUGCUCGAAAGUGUGGGUAUCAAACAGGAUUAGAUACCCGGGUAGUC
rnacentral:rRNA from 1 species